rnacentral:tRNA from 1 species
GAGGGUACAGCUCAAAUGGCAGAGCGCGUGCUUAGCAUGCAAGAGGCCCUGGGUUCAAUCUCCAGUGCCUCCA